rnacentral:rRNA from 1 species
CCUACGGGAGGCAGCAGUGAAGAAGUAUUUCGGUAUGUAAAGCUCUAUCAGCAGGGAAGAAAGAAAUGACGGUACCUGACUAAGAAGCCCCGGCUAACUACGUGCCAGCAGCCGCGGUAAUACGUAGGGGGCAAGCGUUAUCCGGAUUUACUGGGUGUAAAGGGAGCGUAGACGGUUACGCAAGUCUGGAGUGAAAGGCGGGGGCCCAACCCCCGGACUGCUUUGGAAACUGUAUAACUGGAGUGCAGGAGAGGUAAGUGGAAUUCCUAGUGUAGCGGUGAAAUGCGUAGAUAUUAGGAGGCACA